CUUUUUCACUGGUGCAUCAUGAAAACAGCAGAAGAAGUCUGUGUACAUUUUUACAAUGGAAGUGGAGAUUCCUCAAAUGAUGAUCCAAUGAUGGAUUAACGGCCAUCACAGCCCACUCUAAAUGGAAAGUCAAAAAAAAUGGCAUCCAAGCAUGCAGAUGCAGACAGAACUUCAGAAGAAAUUGGCCAGACUGGGCCACGUGUUGGGCUGUGUCCGAGCAGGAAAAAGUGACGCAGAUGAAGACGAUAACAUUUGACACCUGGAAAAAAAAAAUUUCCUGCUCAUCUUCCAGCUGUGAUUUGAGUGGAGAGGUAUGCACCACACCAUAAGAGAAACAAUAGACAUGAAAAAAAAAAAAACAGUCUCUCGUGUGUAGGCAUAUCCAAACUCAAAAACCUCUCUCCAGGGGAUGAUGUCUAUACCCGUAGAGGACUCACAGAUUGAACCAAUGCCUGCCAUUUUGACACGUCAAAGACACAAUUACAAGACAUGAUGGCUAGACCUGCCUCUACAUGCACUGGGUUAAAUCUGUAUAGAUUUAAAACUAGUGAAAAUAGUGAAAGUAGCUAUUCAGUCCAUUGUUUUCCUUUCUUUGUCACUACAUGGCUUUGGUUCUGUAUUAAUUUAUGAGCAUUAAAAAAUGGACACCGAACAUGCCUCCUUUAUAAUCUGAAGUGCCUGAUUUAACGUGAUUGAUUCUCUUCAUGGGAGCUGUCUUCAAAGAACGCUGCAGCAAUAAUAACAUCGCAUUACAAGACCAACCUUCAGUCUUUAUGUUGCUUCUGCCUCUCCCGAGUUUAGUAAAAGAAGUAUGGCUACAUCAAGCAACAUUCCUCUUUGAUUUAUGUGUCAUAAUCACUACCGAUGCAGGGUACCAUUCUCACUUUUCAUGAAAGUAACAGACACGCUUUUACCUUCUCCAAAUUCUUGGAGACAUUGAUACACUAAGGAGAGGAUGAGCGGGAUCACAAAAAGAGAGCUGGGACGUUUUGAUCAUUUUUAUGUCAGCGUGUUCGUGGAUAAAGACACGUCUGCGCUGCCAAGUGUCCCAGGCAAUCCCGGCUUCAUUGAGUCCUGCUCUGCUAUGUUCUAAAUCACUACUCUUUUAUUCUUCUCUACCAUAAUAGCACUGCUAUAAAGAGCAGCAGAAGAGAAAGAAUCAAUAAAAUCAUGCAUCUAAUAAGGGGAGGCAGGAUUAAAAAUGGUUCCUCCAAAGCCUUCAGGGGAAAAUCGAGGUGAGAUUUAAGUCUUUUGACAGGUACAUCGGGGACCCGCUCUCCCAUCCCUGCCAGAGUGGACGGGCGGUGGGCCCGGGACUUGUUUAUGGCAGGUUGGGAUUAAGAAGGUCGGAUCUACACUGCCAUUUCUCAAGGCCUCAAAAGCCCAGUAGGCUAAUUAAACAGUAACAGGCGAGACAUGGGUCUCUCUUGUGCUCACCUCCUGGCUUUGCUCUCUUCAAUUCCAGCAGUUUAAUUUUUCUAGAAAGGGGGCAACCCUGUCGGAGCACUGGGCAAGCUUCCAGUUCUGUGGUGGGAUGUUAGAGGGGUAGCGACGAGAUGGAGGAAGCCCGAGCAUUGGAAUGAGGAGAAGGUUGGCCAUAGGAAAGGCCAGGUCAAACCCUCCACACCCCAGCUGACAGCUAGAGUAAGACCUUCCGGCUCCAUGAGGCUGAAGGACAGAAAAGGAGGGGGAGGUGGUGAUAUCGACAAGGCAGAAGCAUUGUGACUCGCAUUAUGAUUCCCGUGCCAGUGUUGCAAUCCACCGUCACGGUGCUGGAAGGGCAGGCGGCUCGCGUCCAAGGGCUCCCCGUGGAACCUGUGUUAGAUCGGUGAGGCCUGAUGUUGUUGACCUAGCCCCAGGGUGCAUGUGUCACAGCCAAGGCCAUCAAGGCAGUUCCCGUCAUCGCAUUUGCACUUCAAAAAACAUUUGGCUUGCACAGCCUUGGAGCAAGGGAGUCUCAGAGGUGCUUGUGAUAGUGGAUUCACCAGCUUACAGGAAACCUCCUGAAUUAAACAGAACGAAUGGCAGCUGUUGGAUGUGUCCAACUUCAUCUCUUAAAGACCACGCACUGCUAAUCUUCUUCAUAAUGCCCAUGCGUCUUGAUCGGUUACUGUCUCACAAAUUAAAGGGAAUCUCAUUGUUGAGCUAAAAAGUAGUUAAAAAAAAAGAUUCACACAGCAUUGGAGGGUAGUAGGAUUUUAGUCCCAAAUUAAAUAUGUAACAAGCUCUAGCAGUGUUGCAAACACUUUCCUUUAGUAACCAUGCACACUUACCAGUAUACCACAUGAAUACAGGUCACCAUUUUAAUAAUAAUAUGUAUGUUUCAAUUAAUUUCAACAAAAAAAUUGGGUGUAAAAAUUCAACUUAAAUACAUGCACUCACUUCACAUCAACUCUUAUAUUCAUAAUUUAUAUAUAUAAAGGUCAGUUGCACAUAAGAGUCUCCACAAAUAUCUGGUUUUAAAACUCACUUAUUAGAAAUGUACUUUUUGUAUUCAUGUUCUUUUCAUAUUUAAAAAAAAAAAGGGGGGGGGGGUCUUGGUAACCAUUAAAGGGGAACUAUUAUGCAAAAUUCACUUUUGCAUGGUGUUUGGACAUAAAUGUGUGUUGGCAGUGUGUGUACACAACCACCCUAUAAUGAUAAAAAUCCAACCACUCCUUUUUUUUAAUCCCAAUAAAUCAUAAGCAAUGUCUCAGAACAAGCCGUUUCCAGAUCCCUGGCAAUGUGACGUCUAAUUAGCCACAGGCCCCACCCACGAAUGUUGACACUGCCAUUUUAACAUAGAACCGCCCUGAGCGAGUUCACAGCGAGUUGUACACAGUCUGCCAUUGCUGCACUGACGAGAAUGUCUCCCAAGCAUUUUAGGUGUUCUGUAGCUGGAUGGAUUAAUCCACAUAGCUCUCUCCAUUUACUCCCGAAAUCUGAGCCGAUGAAGAUAAGGUGGAUUCAUUUUUGUUUUCGAAGAAAAUGCUCCCUCAACUCUACCAAAAUUUGUUUGUCUGCGCAAAUCAUUUCACACUGGACUGCUUUGUGAAGGAAUGUCAAUACAAAAGAACAAUACAAAACAGAGGUUGUGCUAAAAAGUUGUUACUCAAGAAUAGAUUAGUACAAACAUUCAUGAUCCAGCUUACAGCCUCCAGAGUGAUGCUGGAUACGGCAGUAAUGAGGGUGAGAGCCCUUUAUUACAGUUCAUUGGAGUUGAUUUACGGAUAUAAAGUUUACCAGUUUUUUA